UAAAAACGACUCUCGGCAACGGAUAUCUCGGCUCUCGCAUCGAUGAAGAACGUAGCGAAAUGCGAUAAUUGGUGUGAAUUKMMGAAUCCCCUGUAACCACSGAGUYUUUGAACGCAAGUUGCGCCCGAAGCCAUCCGGUCGAGGGCACGUCUGCCUGGGCGUCACACACC
rnacentral:rRNA from 1 species